rnacentral:rRNA from 1 species
UACGUAGGGUGCGAGCGUUAAUCGGAAUUACUGGGCGUAAAGCGUGCGCAGGCGGUUCGUUGUGUCGGCGGUGAAAGCCCCCGGGCUUAACCUGGGAAUGGCCGUUGAAACUGGCGAACUGGAGUGUGGCAGAGGGGGGGUGGAAUUCCGCGUGUAGCAGUGAAAUGCGCAGAUAUCAGGAGGAACACCAGCGGCGAAGGCGGCGCUCUGGGCCGGAACUGACGCUGAGGAGCGAAAGCGUGGGUAGCAAACAGG